rnacentral:rRNA from 1 species
CACGUAGGGGACGAGCGUUGUCCGGAUUCAUUGGGCGUAAAGCGCGCGUAGGCGGCUCGGAAAGUCGGUCGUGAAAUGCCGGGGCUCAACCCCGGGACUGCGUCCGAUACUCCCGAGCUGGAGGCAGGUAGGGGAGAUCGGAAUUCCUGGUGUAGCGGUGAAAUGCGCAGAUAUCAGGAGGAACACCGGUGGCGAAGGCGGAUCUCUGGGCCGUAACUGACGCUGAGGAGCGAAAGCAUGGGGAGCGAACAGG